rfam:Gilliamella apicola strain wkB1, complete genome.
CGUAUGGUGUAUAGAUUUUGCCUUUAUGGCCGUUUAUAUAGCGAUACGAACAAACUUUAGAGGU